CGAAAUAAGUUUCUAUUCUUUCUGUUGGAAGCACUAGCCGCUCGAAAUUAACGGACAAUUCAAUCGAAUACGAACAAACUAUACGCGUUGAUCACCUGCACAGGCUAAGUCGUUUCGGUAUGUAUUAAAACCAAUUUGUUUUUUAGCUUUAACAAUUCUUUGCGACUGAAAAAUAUUCCGUGGAAAAUUAUUAUGUUAAAACCUCGAUCAUCCGAAACGAGCAAGGAAAAAUGAGUGUUCGGAUAAUGGAGCAGUUGCUUCGUUACAGUGUUAGAUCAUAACUGUAUCGAUUUGUAUAAUAAUUAGCGUUGCGUGUGGAUUCGAAUAAAUUGUAUUUGGAAAGUGUUUGGAUGAUACAGACGUUCGGAUAAUCGAGGUUCCAAUGUACGCUUAACACUAAACCUACCGAGCAGUCUGAUGUGAGUGCCUCGUAAAGGUGAGAUGUUCGAAUUCGUUCGAAUUUUCUAAUGUUUUUAUUACGAAACUUGGUAAGUUUAGUGUUAAUCGUUCACAGACCCUACGUACAAGGAAAAAAAAACCCUGAUGUAAUUUCUCAACCGUAAAUAUUGGAUUAACCACGAGAUAACGAGAAAUUGAAAACUACUCAUUCUAAGCAUAUUCACGAACUCCAAACAAAUCACAAUAGACGUCAAACAACAAAACCAAUGAAAAAUCAAACGCAACAAUAGAUCUGCGAUACUUACGAAACCGUAGCCUCUACUUUUCCCCGUUUGCCUGUCGGUGAUGACGACGGCCUCCUCGAUGUCCCCGUACACAUUGAAAUGUUCCCUAAGGCUUUUGUCGGUGGUGUGAUACGGCAAACCGCCGACGAACAAUUUCGUCCAUGUGGUGUCUUUCUGUUGCGGCGUGGUACCCGCCAAUGCGCCCAGGCUCGAUACCAGUUCGUCCGGCCCUGGCGCCCCGACGGCACCCACCGCGCCGACGGCACUGAGACCAGCGGCACCAGGCAUCAACAUCCUCCAAAUUUUGGCGAGAUCACCGCCAGAUGGAACGACGACUUGCUCAAUUUUGACACUUUCUUUGGUACCUUGAUCAACGCUAAUUACGUCACAAGAUUUUGCGGAUUUCUAAAGCAAAGGUUUUAUCGAGACGCUUGGGUUGCUAAAACGACGCGAUAGAGCCCCGAGUGAAGCCGGAGUUCGGUCUCAUGCGUAUUCCCUGUGGGCGUUGAAAUCACCGUUCGAUUCUGCCGAGCACGUGGAAACACAUUGUGGCAAUAGUUCAGGAAUUAUGUCACAAGUGUGUUAAAUGUUCUACGUUGAGUCCGUGAAAAUACGAAAUGUAAUCACUAUUUUUAAGAACUAUAAUAAUGGAAAUCUAUUGUGAUGGAUUCUUGGAUUCUUUAAGUAAAUAUUUUCUCAGUUAAACGCAUUAAUAACGAACCACCAGAUAGGCCAAAAUUGAUGUUUUGCUUUACAUUCAUUGAAACUAUAGAAAUAUUGAGACAUACAUGAGAAAUAUCUUAAUCUACUCUGUGAAUAAAAAUAAAAUGCUUGAUACGUGCAGAAUAUA